AACGAACGCUGGCGGCAGGCCUAACACAUGCAAGUCGAACGCCCUGGCAACAGGGAGUGGCAGACGGGUGAGUAACGCGUGGGAACGUGCUCUUCGGUUCGGAAUAACUCAGGGAAACUUGAGCUAAUACCGGAUACGUGCGAGAGCAGAAAGAUUUAUCGCCGAGGGAUCUGCCCGGGUUCGAUUAGCCAGUUGGUGAGGUAACGGCUCACCCAGGCGACGAUCGGUAGCUGGUCUGAGAGGAUGAUCGGCCAAACGGGGACAGAAACACAGCCGAGACUCCUACGGGAGGCAGGUGGGGAGAAUAUUGGACUAUGGGCGCAGGCCUGAGGCAGCCAUGCCGCGUAAGUGAUGAAGACCCUAGGGUUGUAAAGCUCUUUCGCCAGGGACGAUAAUGACGGUACCUGGAUAAGAAGCCCCGGCUAACUUCGUGCCAGCCGCCGCAGUAA
rnacentral:rRNA from 1 species